CAAGACAACCGGGCCCAGUUCCCGCUGGGAGCCCUGUGCAGGGGAGACUUUGCAACCAGGGCUCGGCACUGGAGGCCUUCGUAUGCUCUUGGCUCGAGCGGCAGCUUUCAUUUAAAAAUACUGCUGGAAGAGGCACUUGGCUUUUCAUCAUAGAAGGACUCUUCCAGAAAACGCCUACAGCGAGCGAUACGGCGGCAAACCUCACCUUUGGCCAUUCACCUCCAUCAUUGUUUACUUCAGAGCUCAUCUGGAAUCUUUGACAUGCUAAUGCUCAGCACAGCAGCGCAGGCAAUAAAUAUUCAGGCAGAGCGGAGUACUUGCUUCACCUGCCCGCAUACCAGCAUCCAGCGGUGCUCCAGUGACCUGUUGCCAUGUUGCUGUUAUGCCCUGGGCCAUGAAUGGAUGCCACAAGCUGCGGGCUCUGGGUUAUAUUUACCUUGCUAAGCGUGGGACUUCCUUGCUCCUGUACGGCCUCCGUUUCUGUCCUGGAUUAUUUAGUACUGCUGGAUGCUACAAAACUGGUGUGAAGUUCAACCUCUGCUCUGGUUGUGUUUUGAUGGUGAACACAAUAUAAAGCAUGAAAGCGGUGAUGAAGAGAUAAGUAGUUAUUAAAUUAUAUUUAUCUUCAUAUUCUUUGCUGGUUUUAGCAUCCACCAGCGCAGGCAAACCCUUUCUUUAGUGACCGCAUUGGCUUUUAAUUUUCUCCAAGCUCCUCAGACCUAAACUCGGCUACUGUGGCCCUGUGAGUAAUGGCGUUUGCUAAUCCAUGGCAUUUUGCCGUUUUCUUACAUCAGGAGACGUCACGUUGCGUGAUAACUGUCCUCGGGCUGAGCCCUGUCAUCGUUUUUGUGAAAUCUUUUCCUCCUGGUCGGCGCGCGGGCCGUGGGGGAUUUUCUCCGUGUGGCAAU